UGCCUACUGAGCUGAUAACA
rnacentral:miRNA from 1 species